AUGUCCAUCAGGGUGGCCCAGAGGUCCUACAAGGUGUCCACCUCUGGCCUCCAGGCCUUCAGCAGCCGCUCCUACACGAGUGAGGCCCGGUGCCCACAUCAGCUCCUCGAGCUUCUCUUGAGUGGGCAGCAGCAGCUUCUGGGGUGGCUUGGGUGGAGGUCAUGGUAGAGCCAGCGGCAUGAGAGGCAUCACUGCCAUCACAGUCAACCAGAGCCUGCUGAGCCCCCUUAACCUAGAGGUGGACCCCAACAUCCAGUCUGUGUGCACCUGGGAGAAGGAGCAGAUCAAGACACUCAACAAGUUUGCCUCCUUCAUAGAUAAGGUAAGGUUCCUGGAGCUGCAGAACAAGAUGCUGGAGACCAAGUGGAGCCUCCUGCAGCAGAAGAUGGCUCAGAGCAACACAACAACCUGUUCGAGAGCUACAUCAACAACCUGAGGCAGCAACUGGAGACUCUGGGCCAGGGGAAGCUGAAGCUAGAGUUGGAGAGUGGCAGAAUGCAGGGGCUGAUGGAGGACUUCAAGAAAAAGUAUGAGGAUGAGAUCAAUAAGCAUACAGAGAUGGAGGACGAAUUUUUCCUCAUCAAGAAGGAUGUGGAUGAAGCUUACAUGAACAAGGUAGAGCUGGAGUCUCGCCUGGAAGGGCCAACUGAUGAGAUCAGCUUCCUCAGGCAGCUGUGUGAAGAGGAGAUCCGGGAGCUGCAGUCCCAGAUCCCAGACAUGUCUGUGGUGCUUUCCAUGGACAACAGCCACUCCCCCGACAUGGACAGCACCAUCGCUGAGGUCAGGGCACAGUAUGAGGAGAUCACCAACCACAGCCCGGCCGAGGCUGAGAGCAUGUACCAGAUCAAGUAUAGGAGCUACAGAUGCAGGCUGGGAAACACGAGAAUGACCUGCAGGGUACAAAGACUGAGAUCUCUGAGAUGAACCGGAACAUCAGCUGGCUCCAGGCUGAGACAGGGCCUGAAAGGCCAGAGGGGCUUCCCUGGAGGCCGCCAUCACAGAUGCUUGGCAGCGUGGGGAGCUGGCCAUUAAGGAUGCCAAUGCCAAGCUGUCUGAGCUGGAGGCCGCCCUGCAGCAGGCCAAGCGGGACAUGGCACGGCAGCUGCGUGAGUACCAGGAGCUGAUGAACGUCAAACUGGCCCUGGACAUUGAGAUCGCCGCCUAUAGGAAGCUGCUGGAGGGCAAGGAGAGCUGGCUGGAGUCUAGGAUGCAGAACAUGAGUAUCCACAUGAAGACCACCAGCAGCUAUGCAGGUGGUCUGAGCUCGACCUAUGGGGGCCUCACAAGCUCCUGCCUCAGCUACGGCCCUGACUCCAGCUCUUUCAGCCGUACCGGCUCUACCAGGGCCAUGGUUGUGAAGAAGAUAAGACCCGCAAUGGGAAGCUGGAGUCCGAGUCCUCUGCUGUCCUGACCAAGUGAACAGCUACAGCAGCCCCUCCCAGCCUGCCCCAGAGCCGAGGAAGGAGGCCCCUGUGCAGGGGAAUACAGGGAACAGGAGACCCCCUGAGGCUCAGCCCUAGCCCUCAGCCCACCUGCGGAGGAGUUUACUCCCUGGGAACCCCCCCUUGCCCAUGCCUCCAGCUACAAAACAAUUCAAUUGCUUUUUCUUGGUCCAAAAUAAAACCUCAGCUAGCUCUG